GAUGAAGAACGCAGCGAAAUGCGAUAAGUAAUGUGAAUUGCAGAAUUCAGUGAAUCAUCGAAUCUUUGAACGCACAUUGCGCCCGCCAGUAGUCUGGCGGGCAUGCCUGUUCGAGCGUCAUUUCAACCAUCAAGCCCCCGGCUUGUGUUGGGGACCUGCGGCUGCCGCAGGCCCUGAAAAGCAGUGGCGGGCUCGCUGUCACACCGAGCGUAGUAGCAUACAUCUCGCUCUGGGCGUGCUGCGGGUUCCGGCCGUUAAACCACCUUCAUAACCCAAGGUUGACCUCGGAUCAGGUAGGAAGACCCGCUGAACUUAAGCAUAUCAAUAAGCGGAGGA
rnacentral:misc_RNA from 1 species